rnacentral:sRNA from 1 species
GCUGGUGUUGCAGCGCUGGCGACAGUCGGGGUUGCGAGCGGCCCGGGGCCGGGGCGGCCAGGGCCGCUGCAGGACGAGACCCUGGGUGUGGCGUCCGUGCCCUCGCAGUGGAGGGCCGUCCAGGGCAUCCGCGGGGAGACGAAAAGUUGCCAGACGGCCAGCAUUGCCACUGCCAACGCAUCUGCCCAGGCCAGGAAUCAUGUGGACGCCCAGGUGCAGACGGAGGCCCCCGUGCCUGUCAGCGUGCAGCCCCCGUCCCAGUACGACAUACCCCAGCUCGCAGCCUUUCUUCGGAGAGUGGAGGCCAUGGUCAUCCGAGAGCUGAACAAGAAUUGGCAGAGCCACGCGUUUGAUGGCUUCGAGGUGAACUGGACCGAGCAGCAGCAGAUGGCUGGACCAUGGGGACUGGAGCACGCUUAAGUCCUUUGUGUGUGCCUGGAACCUGGACCGGCGAGACCUGCAUCCCCAGCAGCCGUCGGCCGUGGUGGAGGUCCCCAGCGCUGUCCUGUGUCUGGCCUUCCACCCCAUGCAGCCCUCCCACGUCGCAGGAGGGCUGUACAGUGGUGAGGUGUUGGUGUGGGACCUGAGCCGUCUUGAGGACCCGCUGCUGUGGCGCACAGGCCUGACGGAUGACACCCACACAGACCCUGUGUCCCAGGUGGUGUGGCUGCCCGAGCCUGGGCACAGCCACCGCUUCCAGGUGCUGAGUGUGGCCACCGACGGGAAGGUGCUACUCUGG